rnacentral:rRNA from 1 species
GCGGAGGGAUCAUUACCGAGUUUACAACUCCCAAACCCCAAUGUGAACGUUACCAAUCUGUUGCCUCGGCGGGAUUCUCUUGCCCCGGGCGCGUCGCAGCCCCGGAUCCCAUGGCGCCCGCCGGAGGACCAACUCCAAACUCUUUUUUUCUCUCCGUCGCGGCUCCCGUCGCGGCUCUGUUUUAUUUUUGCUCUGAGCCUUUCUCGGCGACCCUAGCGGGCGUCUCGAAAAUGAAUCAAAACUUUCAACAACGGAUCUCUUGGUUCUGGCAUCGAUGAAGAACGCAGCGAAAUGCGAUAAGUAAUGUGAAUUGCAGAAUUCAGUGAAUCAUCGAAUCUUUGAACGCACAUUGCGCCCGCCAGUAUUCUGGCGGGCAUGCCUGUCCGAGCGUCAUUUCAACCCUCGAACCCCUCCGGGGGGUCGGCGUUGGGGAUCGGCCCCUCACCGGGCCGCCCCCGAAAUACAGUGGCGGUCUCGCCGCAGCCUCUCCUGCGCAGUAGUUUGCACACUCGCACCGGGAGCGCGGCGCGGCCACAGCCGUAAAACACCCCAAACUUCUGAAAUGUUGACCUCGGAUCAGGUAGGAAUACCCGCUGAACUUAAGCAUAUCAAUAG